AACGAACGCUGGCGGCAUGCCUAACACAUGCAAGUCGAACGAAGGCUUCGGCCUUAGUGGCGCACGGGUGCGUAACGCGUGGGAAUCUGCCCUUUGGUUCGGAAUAACAGCUGGAAACGGCUGCUAAUACCGGAUGAUGACGAAAGUCCAAAGAUUUAUCGCCAGAGGAUGAGCCCGCGUUGGAUUAGGUAGUUGGUGGGGUAAAGGCCUACCAAGCCGACGAUCCAUAGCUGGUCUGAGAGGAUGAUCAGCCACACUGGGACUGAGACACGGCCCAGACUCCUACGGGAGGCAGCAGUGGGGUAUAUUGGACAGUGGGCGCAAGCCUGAUCCAGCAAUGCCGCGUGAGUGAUGAAGGCCCUAGGGUUGUAAAGCUCUUUUACCCGGGAAGAUAAUGACUGUACCGGGAGAAUAAGCCCCGGCUAACUCCGUG
rnacentral:rRNA from 1 species